GUCAUUUGAAUUGUCUCAGGGCGACUGGUACAAUGGUCUCAACCUUAGAAAAGUAGAUUAAAAGAUAAUACAAAUCCUAAGAGUAAAGAGAUAUUUUGAUUACUGUAAUGGGAGUGCCCUUUUCCAGGGUCUUCCAUGUAAAUUAUCCUCUGUUCCCAUUGAGGUGUAAACUACCCUGGUCUUGGACCUGACCUAAUCAAAUUCCAAUUGUUAGUUUCUGUCUUCAUCUCGGGGGAUGUUUGUCUUGGUCUGAGGUAUUUAAAGGAUUGCAGCAAAAGGAUCAGGGCGAUUCUGUAGCCAGAAAGCCCAUAGUGUGGUGUGUCUCAUCACUUCAUACUAUGUAUUUUCUAAGGUCAGGUAUGCAUAUUUUACUUUCAUUAAUCUUUGACAAUUCUAUGUUUUCUAAUGCUAUGAUUUGAUAGGUUUCAAUUGGAUAUGUAAUUGGCAGAACACAUAUUUACCUGACUGAUAAUAAAUUGUUACAUUUGAUUUUAUUCUGUUUUACUCUGUAAUUAUUGACUCUAGUAGAUUAUGUUGUAUCCUUGUUAGCAACAUGAGCACCCGAAUGAACAAGUUAAUAUAAAAGUAGGAGUUAACUAGAAUAAAUGUCAGAAGAAUACUAAUUAAAAAGGCAUACAACCAAUUUGCAUUUCAACCUAAAUUCAAGGUCAUACUAAAAUGGAGUCAGAUUAAAUAAUAAUAAAAUGGAGUCAGAUUUGAGUUUAACCUAAAAUUAAUACACUGUUAAAAAUUACCAGCAUUUCACAAUAAUUAACAGUAUUGUUUUACAGUAACUUGUUGUAAUUAAGUUUCCCUGUAAUAUCCCAAUGAAUACCUGUAAAAAACUACAGUAUCCUUGGAUUUUACAGCAUUUAACUCUUAUUUUACAGAAAAUCUUGCUAUCUAAAACCUACUGUUAUAUCAUAACAAGGUCUGUAAUAUCACAGCAACACAGUGUAAAAAAAUAAGUAUUUCACAGCAGUAAACAGUAUUAUUACAGUGAAAUAUUGUAUUAAAAUGUGCGCUGGGAAGUCCCUUGACAUAACCGAUCUGUUUUGAAUUGAAAGCGCUGUCGUCGUGUCUCUUCUAUUCCGGGCUGAAUGGAGAAGCAGGUAUCCUAGUUACAACAUGACUGAGCUAACUGGAGAGCCAUCCAAAAUCAUUUGGCGACACUGGCAAGCAUGGUGAUACUGCUGGAGACGGAUGUCACUCUCUUCUGCAUCAUGUAAAAAUGAGAGUGGAGUAAAAAAAUAGGAAUAUGUCUCGAUGAAGAUGAGAUUUAAAGCAAUAUUAUAAUAGCCAAAUUCGCUGAAAUAUUGACCUGUAUGAACAAAGAGACAGCAAAGAACUAGGAAACACAAUGUAUAAGGUCCUAAGCAUAAGACCAAAACGUUAGAACUAGGUGGGAAAUAAGAUAAGAAUGGUGAAACUGUGGUAAACAAAUUCAUGGAAACAUAUUCUGGUUUCAAAGUGUAACGCUAUGAAAAACAUUGCGGUUUAUAUCUCACAACUCUAGAAAUUUAAGGUGUACUUCGCGUACUAUGCCUAUUUUCAUUUUUUAAUUUAGUGUCUUUCGAUGGAAUAUUUUAUGAGAGAUGAGAUCACUGAAUUCAAUGAUGAACUGCCUUUAACUGUCAUUUGCAUUAUUGACCCACUGUUUUCCUAAUGAAUGUUGUUCAGUUGCUUUGACGCAAUGUAUUUUGUUUAAAGCACUAUAUAAAUAAAGGUGACUUGACUUGAUAUUUAAGCUAAACAAACGACAAAGGAUCGGUGCAUAAAACUGUGACCACAAACAUCAAUAACUUAAAUGAACAAAAGACAAUAACCGCCAAUAUUUUUUGAGACAUAACUGUGAGAUGACUUAAGGAGCCUAUGAAUCGGUUAAUUGAAACGAACUAUUCAAAUUAAUCAUUUUUCAGAAGUGAAUCGGACUUUGCAUCAGUAAAUGGGAUCACAAAAAAGGGGUUUGUAUAAAGUUUGAGCAUGCGUUUAAUCAGAUUUCCAAUGAUUUAGAGCACUGCCAUUAACAGUAUGAGUAUUUUGGGAUACGCAUCCACGACUGCCAUGUUUGAAGCCUGAGGUGUAUGUUGGGUAUUGUAGUUCCCUGACCUGAAGGUCAACAUAGCUUGAAUGAGGUGUUCAACUGAACCCCUUUUGUAAAAACAAAAACAAAAAUAAUUGUUAAAACAUAUUUAGACUAAUGAUUAUAAUCAAGAAUAAUACAAUGUACAUGUGCUAAAACAGUCAUGAAGUGUUGGUUGUCUUAUAAUGGAGCAACUGUUAUUACAGUAGGUGGACAAGCUAAAUGGGCUGGCCUCCACAAUCACCGGACCUGAACCCAAUCGAGAUGGUUUAGGGGUGAGCUGGACCGCAGACAGAAAGCAAAAGGGCCAACAAGUGCUAAGCAUCUCUCUGGGAACUGCUUCAAGACUGUUGGAAGACCAUUUCAGCUGACUAGCUCUUGAAGCUCAUCAAGAGAAUGCCAAGAGUGUGCAAAGCAGUAAUCAAAGCAAAAGGUGGCUACUUUGAAGAACCUAGAAUAUGACAUAUUUUCAGUUGUUUCACACUUUUUUGUUAUGUAUAUGAUUUAAUAUAUAAUUCCACAUGUGUUAAUUCAUAGUUUUGAUGCCUUCAGUGUGAAUCUACAAUUUUCAUAGUCAUGAAAAUAAA